rnacentral:tRNA from 1 species
UCCCUGAUGGCUCAGUGGUAAAGAAACCUGCCUGCCAAUGCAGGUGACACAGGUUCGAUUCCUGAUCUGGGAA